rnacentral:rRNA from 1 species
GACGAACGCUGGCGGCGUGCUUAACACAUGCAAGUCGAACGGAAAGGCCCUGCUUGCAGGGUACUCGAGUGGCGAACGGGUGAGUAACACGUGGGUGAUCUGCCCCGCACUUCGGGAUAAGCCUGGGAAACUGGGUCUAAUACCGGAUAGGAGCCAUUUUUAGUGUGAUGGUUGGAAAGUUUUUUCGGUGUAGGAUGAGCUCGCGGCCUAUCAGCUUGUUGGUGGGGUAAUGGCCUACCAAGGCGGCGACGGGUAGCCGGCCUGAGAGGGUGGACGGCCACAUUGGGACUGAGAUACGGCCCAGACUCCUACGGGAGGCAGAGGUGGGGAAUAUUGCACAAUGGGCGCAAGCCUGAUGCAGCGACGCCGCGUGGGGGAUGACGGCCUUCGGGUUGUAAACUCCUUUCGCUAGGGACGAAGCUUUUUGUGACGGUACCUAGAUAAGAAGCACCGGCUAACUACGUG